rnacentral:rRNA from 1 species
UGCCAGCAGCCGCGGUAAUACGGAGGGUGCAAGCGUUAAUCGGAAUUACUGGGCGUAAAGCGCACGCAGGCGGUCUGUCAAGUCGGAUGUGAAAUCCCCGGGCUCAACCUGGGAACUGCAUCCGAAACUGGCAGGCUAGAGUCUUGUAGAGGGGGGUAGAAUUCCAGGUGUAGCGGUGAAAUGCGUAGAGAUCUGGAGGAAUACCGGUGGCGAAGGCGGCCCCCUGGACAAAG